CUCGGAAGGAGUCCUGGAUCCGGGUGGGUGCGGGAUUCCUGGUAGCCGACUGGUCGUCUGACCAGGGCAGUGUCCGCAUCUUCCUAAGGCAGCGGUUCCGGCCCUGGGGAGACUGGAGUUGAGACGGCAGGGCCUCCGCUGACCAGUCCUUGGGCUGUCGCACAACGCGGAGCGGGGCGGAGGGGCCGCCCUGCCAGGCCUGCGCUGCCGUGCUUUUGGGCAGCAGCGAACAGUUAGCCUUUGAACCGGAGCCCGGGGUGGAAUACGGCGAGACGGAGGGGCUCACCAGACUCACGCUUCCCGGAGAGGGCGGCGGAGGCGCGCGGCCGCCGAGCGCGAAGCCGGUCCCCCUGCAGCCCCGGGAGUGUCCCAGGCCCAUCCUACGCAGGGCGGAGGCGCCUCCGCAGCCCGACGCUCACGCCGCAACCCUGUGUGGCUUAGGGUUGUAACCUCGUUGGAAAAUAAAAUACAAAAAAUAUUAAAAUUACCUCCCACCGUACAACCCCCGGUGUCUAGGGUUGUAAUUUUAAUUUUUUUCCCAACUUUUACACUGUGAAUAAUUAUCACAAAAGCGAGGUUUUUUUUUUUUUUUGGGAGACAGUCUCGCUCUGUCGCCCAGGCUGGAGUGCAGUGGCGUGAUUCUCCUGCCUCAGCCUCUCGAGUAGCUGGGAUUACGGAUGCCCGCCACCACGCCCAGCUAAUUUUUGUAUUUUUAGUAGAGACGGUGUUUCUCCAUGGUCUCGAACUCCUGACCUCAGGUGAUCUAUCCGCCUCGGCUUCCCAAAGUACUGGGAUUACAGAGUGUUUCCUGAAGAAUACUAGGAAGAAAUGGAAAUCAGUGUUCUGAAGAACGGCACGGACUCUUAGGCAGUUCCAUCAGCAAGAACCUGAGUUUGAAGUGACAACGUGCUGUGGAGAGGCAAGGUUACAAAAUUACAUCGUUUGACUUCUGUGACACCGGCAUUAUUUUCUGGAGUGUGUGUGUGGCUAAGGUCGUAGGUAAUGCUAAUUUUUAAAUUUUUUCCAACUUUUGUACAGUAAGUUAUCAGAAAAAAAAAAUUGAGAGACAGUAUGCCAAUAGACAAUGGUCAGAUAACGAAUGACAAUAAACUGUAGCCUCUGCAGUAACCGGGCAGUCGGCUGCGUGGGAAGGACGUGGUCAGGACUGCUUGCUCCUCUAUUUUUUGUACCACCCUCCCUAUGUCAGAACCAACCCAAGAAAGCGCUCCCCAAACCAGUCACAGAAAACAUCCUGCUUCUUGUUAGCUCACCUCCAGUUUCCAACAGCCUGCGGUCAGAACCACCUGGAGCCUUCCCCGUUUUCCACCCCCUGGGUCCUUGCGCCUACCUACACCGGUGAUGGUGCUGACUCCCUUGCUGUGGCAAGCUCUGAAUACUGUUUCUCAUUUGGGUGGUCUUCCUUCAUUUCUACGUUUGAGUUAUUGUGGCUGAGAACAGAAGGCAUCUGCAAAAAAUGUUUUAUGCUUAAUGAAAAGAGUAGAAUAAAAAUUUCAUAUAUGACAUUAGUUAAACUCUGAAAAAAAAUACAGAAUAAACACCAAAAUACUGAGGAGUAAUCUGUAACACUAGGAAAAAUUGUUUUUCUACUUUUCUGUAUAUUUUUCUCCUUUUGGCAGUAAACCUGUAAUCCUUUAAAAAUUCAUGUAUAUAGUUUUUUUCUUGGAAAUUAUAAGAAUGAUUUGAUGAGUGGUUUGAUGCAACUUAUAUUACUUGGUAAGCAGUUUUAAAAUAUUCACGUUUACUUAUAAAAUUUAAAUUUUUUAUUUGUAUUAUCUAUAUAUUAUUUAAUGUUACUGUUCUGGCUGUUAAACAUUUUGAGUUAUCUUCCCAGGUUGAAUGAUUUAUGGAUGAAAGUACUAUUGUACAUUUUCGUACAUUGUAUCAUGUGAAUAGGCCAGAUUCCUCUUUUCUAUUCUUUGGUUUAAUUUCUUUGGUGUAUUCACAAGCUUAUACUUCCACAUAUUAAAAACAUUUAUCUUACCUCUGUAAAGACAAAAACUGGAAAAAAAAAAGGCAUUUAUCCAAA